GUCAGGUAUGGUGGUGCACACCUGUAAUCCCAGCUACUCGGGAGACUGAGGCAGGAGACUCACUUGAACCCAGGAGGCAUAGGUUGCAGUGAGCUCAGAUUGCACCACUGCACUCCAGCCUGGGUGACAGAGUGAGACUCCGUCUCAA
ensembl:misc_RNA Metazoa_SRP Metazoan signal recognition particle RNA